rnacentral:misc_RNA from 1 species
GUUCUUUUAUUCUUUUUUUUUUUUCGUUUUUAAAUUUUUUUUAUGGGCCAGUUUGUUUUCUUGGCUGGCCUUUUCAUAGUUUGUCCAUGGUUAACUUAUCAAAUGUGAAAUGGUUUUAAUUUCCUCUGGUUUUUGUUGACAAACUUGCUUCAUCCCUGUUUGAAUUGAGUGCAGCAUGGAUUAUUAAUGUAUGGUAUUGUAUUGUAUGGUUUUUAUGGUUAAUAUGUUUGGAAAGAUAGUAUGGUAUAAGAUGGCUUACUAACCUUCUCUUAUUUGGAUAGAUGAUAUGAAAUGAUAAAAUAAAUAUAAAUAUUACUAAAAUAUUCUUU